UAUCUAGGGGAGGAAAAAAAAACAGAAACCAGAACUACGCAACAAAAUGGUAAAUCUUUUUUUUUUUUUUUUUUUUCCUAAUAGAAACGUUGACUUCAGCUCUUCAGUUUACCAUAACAUGGAUGACGCAUCAGAUGAUUACAGCCAAAGGAAACCCAGCCUAGCAAGUGGAUGACGUCUUAGUAGAAAGCAGGUGCAAAGAGAAUAUUUCCCUGCCAAAGACUGAACCAUUGCCAAGAAGUCAUGUGUCUGAACAGGCAUCCCUGUCUACUCUGUGUUUCUAGGCCAUCAGAUGUCCCAUCGGCACUGACACCUGCCAGUUUUGCUGUGUUGCUUGUAUCACAGGGAUGCAGCUGCGGGGCUGUAACUGGAGGCUGUGCCCGCACCAGGCCACCAUGGGGACGCAGCCCAGUCGUCAGCAUGGACCCCUGCGUCCCCACGCCGAGAGGCCACCGCCGCAGUGGAGAGGAAGAUCUGGCGUGACUGCCRUUCUGCUUUUAAAGCUAUCCCUGGCCUCACUGAAAUGCAGCUGUGGGCAGUCAAAAAAGGAAUAAAUGGAAAACGUAUUAGAAAGAGGCUUGUCUC
rnacentral:lncRNA from 1 species